rnacentral:rRNA from 1 species
AUUGAACGCUGGCGGCAGGCCUAACACAUGCAAGUCGAGCGGAUGAAGGGAGCUUGCUCCUGGAUUCAGCGGCGGACGGGUGAGUAAUGCCUAGGAAUCUGCCUGGUAGUGGGGGAUAACGUCCGGAAACGGGCGCUAAAACCCCAAACGUCCUGAGGGCAAAAGGGGGGGAGUUUGGAACUUCCGGCUUUCGGUGAGGCCAAGGUGGGAUUAGCUAGUUGUGGGGGUAAAGGCCUACCAAGGCGCGGAUCCGUAACUGGUCUGAGAGGAGGAUCAGUCACACUGGAACUGAGACACGGUCCAGACUCCUACGGGAGGCAGCAGUGGGGAAUAUUGGACAAUGGGCGAAAGCCUGAUCCAGCCAUGCCGCGUGUGUGAAGAAGGUCUUCGGAUUGUAAAGCACUUUAAGUUGGGAGGAAGGGCAGUAAGUUAAUACCUUGCUGUUUUGACGUUACCAACAGAAUAAGCACCGGCUAACUUCGUG